CCCUUAGAUGUUCUGGGCUGCACGCGCGCUACACUGAUGCAUGCAACGAGUUUUCGACCUUGCCUGAAAAGGUUGGGUAAUCUGUUUAACAUGUGUCGUGAUGGGGAUAGACCAUUGCAAUUAUUGAUCUUCAACGAGGAAUUCCUAGUAAGCGCGAGUCAUCAGCUCGUGCUGAUUAUGUCCCUGCCCUUUGUACACACCGCCCGUCGCUCCUACCGAUUGAGUGAUCCGGUGAGCGAUUCGGACCAGCGUGCUGCUCAGAUCCUGCGCAGUGUGCUGGGAAGUCUAGUGAACCUUAUCACUUAGAGGAAGGAGAAGUCGUAACA
rnacentral:rRNA from 1 species